AAAAUACACGAAAUAAAAGUCAAGUGAAAAUAGUUAUAAAUGACUUUAUCAAUUAUGAGUAGCUAAACAUUAUCGACUUUUGGACACUGAUGCGCAGGAGAACCCCUAGCUGUCAAUCAAGCAGGCGCGGUGAACGGAUUAUGACGCUCAAGCGUUCCAAAUGACGCAACAAUACAGCUCCAGACCAGAGAAAGUUAAUGCCGAGGAUAUUAUUCGGUUCAACACUAAAACUGAGGUUUGACACGUGUGAUUUGAGGUGAGUCAAAUAUUUACAAAAGUUUACAAUACAUUAACCAUCCGCUUCGUUAUUUCUGUUGCUAUCAAUCACUCCAUCUGUAUCUACUCUUCUGUCUGUCUGUCGGACUAUCUGAAUUGUCUGUGUACUGUCUAGCCACCAUAUGCCAGAAAGGUUCUUUCACAUAGGCUCAUAUUCACAAAGUCUCAUAGAAGGAGUGCUGAUCAAUAAUCAGUUUGGUCUUUUAAAUUAAACUGAAUACGUUUUGAUGGACAGGAGGCGACCUGAUCCUAGAUCAGCACUCCUACCCUGAAACACUUUGUGAACACAAUCCAGGUGUACUGUGAUGAGAUAUUAUUAUAUUAGUUGUGCUGAUGCAUGAUGGGUUGUAGGCUAGAGCUUGAGGACUCAACUCUGAAGACUGUUUCUGAAUUCACUGACCUGAAAUAAAACUUGUAGACCUUUCCUGCAGUCUCUGAGGAGAUGGACACCUCUUCUUCUUCUGGACGAUCUCCGUCUCCUACUGGGACUGUCUUCUUACCCCCUCCUAUCAUGUGGAACAGUCUGUAAGUCAUUCAUCACNNNNNNNNNNUAGGGCCAGGUCAAUUCGGGAUGGGAAUUAUUGCACUUUAUUGACAAAUUCCAUGCCUUGCUCAACUGAAAAGAGUAAAGAAUCAUUGAGAUCCAAUUGUGUUUUCUAUUCUUCAUUCCCUGUGUCCAUUACAUUUAAGUUGAUACCAGAUCCACUAAGAUGAAUGUGAACUCUACUUCUUCUCCCCUCCCAGCCAUCCCUGGACACACAAGGCUAACAUCCACCAUGACCCGGGCAGAGAGAGAGAGGGAGAAGAGGAAGGAGCUGCUGAAGGCUGAGGAGAGAAGGAAGAAGAUGGAGGAUUUCAAUAAGCAGUGGAGAGAGCGGUCCCUGCUUAAAAAACAGACUCAUCAACAACUGAAGGAGGAGAGGGAGAGGAUGAAGGAAAACUACCUGGAGCAGAUGAAUCUGGAGGCUGAUGCUCAAAUCAACACCCGGUGUCUAACCACCCAACACAGCCACGAUUACAACCACGGUCAGGAGUUGCCCGGGUGGGCCAAUGGCCAACAAGUAAGCCAAGAGCCAACUGGAUCUGCUGAUGGCCACCAGGAAAGGCCAAGGAGGCAACAGGCAUGGGCAGAGAACCAGGAGGGGAGUUCAGAGAACCAGCAGGAGGGGCCAGAGAACCAUCAGGGGGGGCCAGACAGCCAGCAGCUAGAAGCUCCAGAAGAGGUUGAAAAAUCAGAGCGAAUCUCCAAGACAAAGAAAAAGCCAAGCAUCUGGAAGAAAAUUAGGAUGAGUCAACAAGUGAUGAGCCAGAUCAACCAAUCAACGUCACUGCAGCUGUUCUACCCACCACCCCCACUGCUCUUCCUCCACCACCAACCUCAUCCUCUUCUCCUGUUCAACUCAUUUGUCGCCCCACUAGAAAGGACUAGUGCAUACAGUUGAUGUCGGAAGUUUACAUACACUUAGGUUGGAGUCAUUAAAACUCAUUUUUCAACCACUCCACAAAUUUCUUGUUAACAAACUAUAGUUUUGGUAAGUCGAUUAGGACAUCUACUUUGUGCAUGAAACAAGUUAUUUUUCCCCAAAAAAUGUACUGACAGAUAAUUUCACUUAUGAUUCACUGUAUCACAAUUUCAGUGGGUCAGAAGUUUACAUAAACUAAGUUGAAUGUGCAUGCAUUUAAACAGAUUGGAAAAUUCCAGAAAAUGAUGUCAUGGCUUUAGAAGCUUCUGAUAGGCUAAUUGACAUAAUUUGAGGCAAUUGGAUGUUUACCUGUGGCUGUAUUUCAAGGCCUACCUUAAAACUCAGUGCCUCUUUGCUUGACAUCAUGGGAAAAUUGAAAGAAAUCAGCCAAGACCUCAGGAAAAAAAAUUGUAGACCCCCACAAGUCUGGUUCAUCGUUGGGAGCAAGUUCCAAACCCCUGAAGGUACCACAUUCAUCUGUACAAACAAUAGUAUGUACGUAUAAACACCAUGGGACACCAUGGGACCACGCAGCUGUCAUACCACUCAGGAAGGAGAUGUGCUCUGUCUCCUAGAGAUGAACGUACUUUGGUGCAAAAAGUGCAAAUCAAUCCCAGAACAACAGCAAAGGACCUUGUGAAGUAGCUGGAGGAAACAGGUACAAAAAUAUCUUUAUCCACAGUAAACGAGUCCUAUAUCGACAUAACCUGAAAGGCCGCUCGGCAAGGAAGAAGCCACUGCUCCAAAACCACCAUAGAAAAGCCAGACUACAGUUUGCAACUGCACAUGGGGACAAAGAUUGUACUUUUUGAAGAAAUGUCCUCUGGUCUAAUGAAACAAAAAUAGAACUCUUUGGCCAUAAUGACCAUCGUUAUGUUUGGAGGAAAAAAGGGAGAGGCUUGCAAGCUGAAGAACACCAUCCCAACCGCGAAGCACAGGGGUGGCAGCAUCAUGUUGUGGGGGUGCGUUGCUGCAGAAGGGACUGGUGCAUUUCACAAAAUAGAUGGAAUCAUGAGGCAGGGAAAUUUAUAUGGAUAUAUUGAAGCAACAUCUCAAGGCAUCAGAAGUUAAAGCUUAGUCACAAAUGGGUCUUCCAAUUGGACAAUGACACCAAGCAUACUUCCAAAGUUGUGGCUAAAUGGCUUAAGGAUAACAAAGUCAAGGUAUUGGAGUGGCCAUCACAAAGCCCUGACCUCAAUCCUUUAGAACAUUUGUGGGCAGAACUGAAAAAGCGUGUGCGAGCAAGGAGGCCUAUAAACCUGACUCAGUUACACCAGCUCUGUCAGGGGGAAUGGGACAAAAUUCAACCAACUUAUUGUGGUAAGCUUGUGGAAGGCUACCCAAAACAUUUGACCCAAGUUAAACAAUUUAAAGGCAAUGCUACCAAAUACUAAUUGAGUGUAGUACUUCUUCCGGCACCGACAGAGAUGGCCGCCUCGCUUCGCAACGUCAACUCACCAUCAUUACGACCAGGAAAAUGACUUUCCCGAAGCGGAUCCUGUCUUUUGCCCACCACCCAGGACAAUGGAUCGGAUCCCAGCCGGCGAACCAAAACAAUGACGCCCUAAAAGGGGCAGACGAAGUGGUCUUCUGGUCAGGCUCCGGAGACGGGCACAUCGCACACCGCUCCCGAGUAUACUACUCGCCAAGGUCCAGUCUCUUGACAACAAGGUUGAUGAAAUCCGAGCAAGGGUAGCAUUCCAGAGAGACAUCAGAGACUGUAACGUUCUUUGCUUCACGGAAACAUGGCUCACUCGAGACACGCUAUUGGAGGCGGUACUGCCAGCUGGUUUCUUCACGCAUCGUGCCAACAGAAACAAUCAUAUUUCUGGUAAGAAGAGGGGCAGGGUAUGCCUUAUGAUUAACGAGACAUGGUGUGAUCAUAAGAACAUUCAGGAACUCAAGUCCUUCUGUUAACCUGAAUUAGAAUUCCACAAAUGUCGACCGCAUUAUCUACCAAGAGAAUUCUCUUCGAUUAUAAUCACAGCCUCAUAUAUUCCCCCCCAAGCAGACACAUCGACGGCCAUGAACAAACUUUAUUUGACUCUAUGUAAANNNNNNNNNNAAACUGAAUACGUUUUGAUGGACAGGAGGCGACCUGAUCCUAGAUCAGCACUCCUACCCUGAAACACUUUGUGAACACAAUCCAGGUGUACUGUGAUUAUGAAGUUGUGAUGAGGUAUUAUUAUAUUAGUUGUGCUGAUGCAUGAUGGGUUGUAGGCUAGAGCUUGAGGACUCAACUCUGAAGACUGUUUCUGAAUUCACUGACCUGGUGAGUAAAUGUUGUGUACAAUGGCACCAUCUAGUGACAGAAACAUAGAAACACACAUUGUUGCUGAACGAAGGCAUCUCUUUAUUUUCCAGAAAUAAAACUUGUAGACCUUUCCUGCAGUCUCUGAGGAGAUGGACACCUCUUCUUCUUCUGGACGAUCUCCGUCUCCUACUGGGACUGUCUUCUUACCCCCUCCUAUCAUGUGGAACAGUCUGUAAGUCAUUCAUCACGACAAAUAUAAAUGGAAACAGAACCAAAUGGACAUGGAGGAGAAGAUGGAUGGUGAGCACAACAAACAGAAAGAGGUAGAAAGAAAGAGAAUGGAGAAAAUACCAAAACAGAGACAAGAAGAAGAUGAGAAGAAGAAGGAGAUGGAGAGAGAAGAAGAAGAGGAGAGACGCAAACAGAAGCACAUAGAGAUGGAAGAGGAAGAAAGAGAGAGGGAGAAAGAGAGACAGAGACAGAUCAAAAGGAAGAGAAUGGAGAAGAGACAGAAAAUUAUGGAAAGAGAAGAAGAGAGACAGAGAGAGAUUGAAAGAGAGAUUGAAGAAGAAAGAUGUAAACAGAAGCAAAUAGAGAUGGAAGAGGAAGAACGAGAAAGGGAGAAAGAGAGACAGAGAGAGAUCAAAAGGAAGAGAAUGGAGAAGAGACAGAAAAUUAUGGAAAGAGAAGAAGAGAGACAGNNNNNNNNNNCAACGUCAACUCACCAUCAUUACGACCAGGAAAAUGACUUUCCCGAAGCGGAUCCUGUCUUUUGCCCACCACCCAGGACAAUGGAUCGGAUCCCAGCCGGCGAACCAAAACAAUGACGCCCUAAAAGGGGCAGACGAAGUGGUCUUCUGGUCAGGCUCCGGAGACGGGCACAUCGCACACCGCUCCCGAGUAUACUACUCGCCAAGGUCCAGUCUCUUGACAACAAGGUUGAUGAAAUCCGAGCAAGGGUAGCAUUCCAGAGAGACAUCAGAGACUGUAACGUUCUUUGCUUCACGGAAACAUGGCUCACUCGAGACACGCUAUUGGAGGCGGUACUGCCAGCUGGUUUCUUCACGCAUCGUGCCAACAGAAACAAUCAUAUUUCUGGUAAGAAGAGGGGCAGGGUAUGCCUUAUGAUUAACGAGACAUGGUGUGAUCAUAAGAACAUUCAGGAACUCAAGUCCUUCUGUUAACCUGAAUUAGAAUUCCACAAAUGUCGACCGCAUUAUCUACCAAGAGAAUUCUCUUCGAUUAUAAUCACAGCCUCAUAUAUUCCCCCCCAAGCAGACACAUCGACGGCCAUGAACAAACUUUAUUUGACUCUAUGUAAAAUGGAAACCACAUAUCCUGAGGCUUCAUUCAUUGAAGCUGGGGAUUUUAACAAGGCUAAUCUGAAAAAAAGACUCCAUAAAUUCUAUCAUCAUAUUGAUUGUGCAACCAUGGCUGGUAAAACCCUGGAUCAUUGUUAUUCUAACUUCCGACUCUCCCACGCCCUCCUUUCAGAAAAGCUGACCAGGACUCUAUUUUGUUGCUUCCAGCCUAUAGACAGAGACUAAAAUAGGAAGCUCCCGCGCUCAGGUCUGUUCAACGCUGGUCCGACCAAUCUGAUUCCAUGCUUCAAGAUUGCUUCAAUCAAGUGGAUUGGGAUAUGUUGCGCAUUGCGUCAAACAACAACAUUGACGAAUACGCUGAUUCGGUGAGCGAGUUUAUUAGCAAGUGCAUCGGCGAUGUCGUACC
rnacentral:lncRNA from 13 species